UAUGUGUCGAUCGACUAAGCGCCAACCACCAACUCCUCCUUUCUCCUCGAGGCAGCACAAAACAAGUACAUCAAGCUGCCGGCUAGCCGAUGCGGUGUCCGGCAAUCACAUGAUGUUGAGAGAUGCUCCGUUGGUGAGCGAGCGACACCAUGAUCUUGUCUACUCGAGUGGCCACGCUCUUUGACUCCUCGGCCAUACUCAGAUGCGAGAGGAUGAUGGGCCAGCCGACAGGUGUUUGUUUCUGAAGAUUCAGACGAGCCAAUGCAAGCAAAGGUUAGCAGAAAAAUAAUGUAUGCAUUAUCAUGCAGUGGUUCAGUGCUUCCUUGCAUUGGUAAAUAGGCUUUCCUGUACUUGCUACCCAAUGUUCUUAUUUGAUCUAGUUUUUCUAUCCCGGCACUCAUGCUUCUAGCCGAAACUACAUCUCGGCUUGUACUCCUAUUAGAAUGCGACCACGGGUGGGUCUUGUGCGUUUCCUCGGGUGGAAAUACUAAUGAUGUUGUGCGCGGGUGGGGCUUGUGCGUUUCCUCGGGGAGUAUAUAAUUUGUUGUUGUUGUUGUUGUUGAUUUUUCUCCUGUUAAAUUGAUAGCUCUUUGAAUCCUUAGCUCAUCUGUUCAUUUAUGUCUAAGGAAAGUUGUGAUGUGAGUCUACAAUGGUUGUACAUGUUAAGUUAUGCCACCAAAUGCUUGUGCGUGUAGCAGGGGUUUAAAGAGUUUAAAUAGGGUUAGCCGUGUGCUGAUCGUGAAGUGUGAAGAGUUGUAUCUUUUAUUAAAAAUAUGGCCGCAGAACAAUGUUGGGCGUUCCAGAUAAUGGGACAUGAGGAAGUUUGGAUGAUUCUACCUAUGUGUUGUGUAGAACUUUCCCUCUUUUUGUUGUGCUUUAAAAGUAGUGUUAACCGGUGUGUAUUAAGUACUACAGAGAUGGUGUAUGUGGAACGUAGAAGCCUCCUUGCAGAUGUACUGAGAAAGAUUGGUGGAACAUGACCCUUUUUUGGAGUAGUUGAACAUGACCUUUUUUGGGGAGUAAUAGUCUUGGUGAAGGGAAGUGUACCGCUCGAUGCUACAUUUGUAGUGUUCAAAGUACUUGUGCUGAGUCAUA